GUCCAGACUCCUACGGGAGGCAGCGGUGGGGAAUAUUGCACAAUGGGGGAAACCCUGAUGCAGCGACGCCGCGUGAGUGAAGAAGUAUUUCGGUAUGUAAAGCUCUCUCAGCAGGGAAGAUAAUGACGGUACCUGAGUAAGAAGCCCCGGCUAACUACGUGCCCGCAGCCGCGGUAAUACGUAGGGGGCAAGCGUUAUCCGGAUUUACUGGGUGUAAAGGGAGCGUAGACGGCAUGGCAAGUCUGAAGUGAAAGCCCGGGGCUCAACCGCGGGACUGCUUUGGAAACUGUUAAGCUGGAGUGCAGGAGAGGUAAGUGGAAUUCCUAGGGUAGCGGUGAAAUGCGUAGAUAUUAGGAGGAACACCAGUGGCGAAGGCGGCUUACGGGACUGUAACUGACGUUGAGGCUCGAAAGCGUGGGGAGCAAACAGGAUUAGAUACCCCAGUA
rnacentral:rRNA from 1 species